AAUCAUGAUUACUUUAUUUACUUUACUGUUCAUUUUUUACUUUUGCCACCAACACAGCCCUCAGUCCCAUCCCUUCCAACCGCUACCACCUAGAUGCCACCAUUGCCUUUCUAUUGGCACCACCACAACCACUACCAAAUAAACUAAGUAUAGAAGCCAAAACCAUUAAAUUGCAUUUCCUUUUAUUUGAGCAACCAAACAUGGGAAUAGAAAUACCUUAUACAUUUUACUAUUUUACAGUCUCAUUCUAUUGUGUCUUACCAAUAACUGGUGUUCUAAAUUUUCACACUAGCAGUUUGCCACUUUGCCUUAAUGCUGGAUGCAGG
rnacentral:misc_RNA from 1 species